ensembl:lncRNA
GGAUUGAGAAACACUGUAUCCCAUCAACAUAAAUCUGGCAGUGCAGAAAUUCUGUAACACAAUUGGCAUGGUUACAGGACCGUAAAGUGUGUAAUAUUUCCCAUUGUUUAACGGCUGUCUGGAGAGGAUAUUGUGCCUUGCCCAAAACAAAAUCUUGUGUCUUGUCGGUAUGGAGCUGGACUAUUGUUACAGAUGUUGCAGGAGCAGCUCUGAAAGUCAUCUGUUUCAAGAAGCACCUCCAGACUGCAUAUGUCACAUUUGGGUCAAGUUACAAUCAUGAUUCCUCUCCAUAAAAUGAUGGUGGUCCGGACUCACUUGAUCAAAAGAGACGCAACAAUAUGUUGAAACAGGGCAUAGUAAGCACAACACCCUUACGCCAUUGCUCGGUGUCAUGUUGAACCACCUUUGGAUGACACGCGUCACUUUUGGGUCAAAAGAUAUUCCUCAUGAUAUUGAAGAUAGUUCUAUUCCUCAUGAUAUUGAAGAUAUUUCUAUUCCUCAUGAUAUUGAAGAUAUUUCUAUUCCUCAUGAUAUUGAAAAUAUU